UACGUAGGGGGCAAGCGUUGUCCGGAAUCAUUGGGCGUAAAGAGCGUGUAGGCGGCCCGGUAAGUCCGCCGUGAAAGUCCAGGGCUCAACCCUGGAAUGCCGGUGGAAACUGCCGGGCUGGAGUCCGGAAGAGGCGAGUGGAAUUCCUGGUGUAGCGGUGGAAUGCGCAGAUAUCAGGAGGAACACCAACGGCGAAGGCAGCUCGCUGGGACGGUACUGACGCUGAGGCACGAAAGCGUGGGGAGCGAACAGG
rnacentral:rRNA from 1 species